rnacentral:lncRNA from 1 species
GGGAGUAAUGCGCAGUCACCCCUAGAACGGGUCUUUUUGGCAAGGGAGGGUCGGAUCCUGCAGCCAAAUCUCUGAGCUGAGCUGAGAUGAGUCCAGUCUCAACGAGGACCGUGGGCGGCUGUGGAGAACCGGAAGGGUUUCUCCCCCGGAGCGAUGUGUCUGUGUGUGUGUCACACGCAUACUCAGCCAACUUCGCUCAAAGCUGCUGAAACAGUGUCUUUGUGCUGAAGCCCAAUGUGAGCAUUUUCUUCCCAGUAGCAAGGAUUUGAACACGUUAUAUUGAUCUAAAAGGUGGAGUUGCUUUGGAACCUUUUAAUUCGAGGUUUCCACUGGAGAGUCCUGUUGGGAAAUGUGUGUGUGGAGGGAGGGGAGGAAGGAGAAAAGUCCGUCUCCUUAAUGUGAGCGGUCCAGGACCUCCCCACCCGCCAUAUACCCUUCCACUGGGAUUUUUCCGGGAAGGAUGAAAGGACAGGAGUUCUGGGGCCGGAAGGCAGGGCGGGUCCCUGAGCCCGGAGCCUCCCAGUGGAAGGCUACUGGGCGGACCUGAAGGGGACCCAGGCAGGAGGAAAAACCAGAGAACCCCAGGAGUGCCUGUUUUGCAAUAAGGCUUUAAGCAGAGUGGGUUGGGUUUAAAUAAACAAAACUCAGCUGCAGCCAGUGGGUUCAGGUGUGGGCCUGCUUUUCUGGAAUAAGGCACCUGCAGGCUGCGAGGUAACCACAGGGACUGCCCAACACCUAGGGACAGGGGAGGAUGGAUGAAUCUCACUAACAGGAUGUCCAGCAAAGACAAAAGAUCAUUCCAUUCACGCUUAGACCGACAGCAAGCCCGACUCCACCAUAACGUUUAGAGGUGUGCACAAAUAGGGGAAAGAUGAAGAAAAACAAGGAGGUGAUUAUGGGCACAUUCAGGAGGGCUCUGGGGGAGGAGGGGCAUCCCCUUCUGGACCUGAGGGUUACCAGAGUGUCGGCUUCAUGAUCACACUUUGAACUCCAAACACAUGAUUUGCGUACUUUUCCCUAUGCCUGCAUCUAGAGUCGGCAGUUUUUGUUUUUUUUUGUUUUGUUUUGUUUUGUUUUGUUUUGUUUUUUUGAGACAGAGUUUCACUGUUGUUGCCCAGGCUGGAGUGCAAUGGCACGAUCUCAGCUUACCACAACCUCCGCCUUCCAGGUUCAAGCAAUUCUGCCUCAGCCUCCCUAGUAGCUGGGAUUACAGGCGUGCGCCUCACGCCCGGCUAAUUUUGUAUUUUCAGUAGAGACGGGGUUUCUCCAUGUUGGUCAGGCUGGUCUCGAACUCCCAACCUCGUGAUCCGCCCACCUCGGCCUCCCAAAGUGCUGGGAUUACAGGCAUGAGCCACCGUGCCUGGCCUAUUUUUAUUUAUUGCUAAAUAGAGAUGGGGUCUUGCUAUGUUGCCUAGGUUGAUCUCAAACUUCUGGGCUCAAGAGAUCCUCCCACUUCAGCCUCUCAAAGUGCUAGGAUUACAGGUAUGAGCCACCACACCCUAUUUAGAGUCCACAGUUUUAUUUUAUUUUACUUUAUUUAUUUUUGAGACGGAGUUUUGCUCUCUCACCUAGGCUGGAGGACAGUGGCGCGAUCUCAGCUCAAUGCAACCUCCACCUCCUGGGUUCAAGCAAUUCUCCUGCCUCAGCCUCCAGAGUAGCUGGGAUUAUAGGCACACACCACCAGUCCUGACUAAUGUGUGUAUGUUUAGUAGAGACGGUUUCGCCAUGUUGACCAGGCUGGUCUGGAACUCCUGACCUCAGGUGAUCCACCCACCUCAGCCUCCCAAAGUGCUGGGAUUACAGGCAUGAGCCACCGCGCCGGGCCUAGAAUCCACAAUUUUAAGUAAGUGGGGAGGGGAGAGGGACUAACAAGACGGAGGCCGCAGCUUGUGCUGAGACGGCCAGGUGGUCCGGCCGCAUCAGAAAUCACGAGUUUGGAAUGACUGGCACCUUCGAGGGGUUGAGCUUUAAUUCUGCCACUAACUAGUUGUGUGACCUUCGCCAAGGCCUAACUCCUUGUUCUAACUGGACACAAUAGUCCUAGACUCCUAGCGUUGUUGAAGGAUUAACAAGACAAUCUGUGUGAAGCGGUCGGCACAGGGUCUGGCUCAGGCAUGGAUCUGCCAGUAAUAGCAUUUACUAUUUUCACAGUUGCUGUUUCCUAGCAUGAGUUCAAGGCUGCCUCCUCUCUGUCUUCAUUAUGUGAAUUGAAUGUGGUCACACAUCUGUGUUGGAGCAGAGGCAGGGGCUGCAGCUUUCAGCUGAUUUCCCAAGGGGUCUGUACUUGGACACUGAUCCAGUCCACCCAAUGUGUUUCCAGAAAGUGGAGCUGAUUCCUGGAGAGCAGAAGGGAUAUAUGUGGGGCUUUUUGUAAAGGGCAGUGACCUAUGUGGUGGGCUUGUCCACUGCCCGAGUCUGCGGCUCCCACAGGUCACUGCCCGGCUCAUAUCCUUCCCCUUUGGAAUUGGCUUGGAGCAGGGUCUCUCCUCCCCGGCCCCUAUGUGCCCACCAUCUCUGGGGUCAGUGGCCCACUCAUGACUCUCAGGGCGGGGAGGGGGCUUGGAGUUCAGUAACAGCACCCUGGGUCAUUCUUGCACCUGUCACCCUGAGAGCCACUGACCAGUUUUCUGUGCCUAGAAUCGCUGCUUGCGGCCUUUCUCAGGGGCUCAAUGGAUUGUAAUUGAUGUUUGUAUUUUGCACUUGCCCGGAGGUGUUUCACGGGAAGUGAGCAUUUUUUAAAACAAAAAUAGAAUUUAGAAAAAAAAAAGGCAGACACGAUGGAUUUCUAGUGUUGUACGUGCUGUAGAAAGCACUUGAAAAUGCGUUUUGCCAGGGGCCGCAACCAGAAGCUACAUGACUUCUGGAAUCUGUUCCUUACACAGUAAAUUCCUGGGCCAGUUGGUAAACAGCAAGGAGCCACAAGAAAUCACUCAUAGGCAAAAGCCGAGUGAGCCCAGGCCAAGCUCCACUUUGUCCACUUUGCCCUAUUUUUGGAAUUCAGGGGGAAACAUCUUGGGAGCAGGCCCAUUGCACCCCUCUGCCUCCUCUCGAUGCCUUACAGUUGGUGGGGUUUGACACAUGGAAAAUUGUGAAAGUUAGAACACGGAACAAAAAUGAAGCCUCAACAUAGAGUUAAUAGAGGCAAGGGGCUACAGAGAAUUUAGAUCCUAAUCAAGCACGUCUUAUGUACUAGCGCUUCCCUGGAAGGCCAGGAUAACUUUAUGACUACAAAGAAAACAUGUUUUCCUGCUUGGAAGUUGCCAGAACUUGUCUAAUAUAAAAGCUGGGAUUUCUUGCCCGUGGGCUGUCGCGUACGGCUACCCAGGCCGCCUCGUGAAGCCUCCUCCUGGGAGCUCGGCGCCCUCAGGUGCUCCCUGAGAUGCCAGCACCUGAACGACCUGCUCCAGGGAGGCUUUAGCCCCAAGAAGGUUCUGGAAAGCUCCAG